AACGAACGCUGGCGGCAGGCUUAACACAUGCAAGUCGAACGAGAUCUACGGAUCUAGUGGCAGACGGGUGAGGAACACGUGGGAACAUCCCUUUCAGUUCGGAAUAACGUUGGGAAACUAACGCUAAUACCGGAUACGUCCUGCGGGAGAAAGAUUUGUCGCUGAAAGAUUGGCCCGCGUCUGAUUAGCUAGUUGGUGAGGUAAUGGCUCACCAAGGCUACGAUCAGUAGCUGAUCUGAGAGGAUGAUCAGCCACAUUGGGACUGAGACACGGCCCAAACUCCUACGGGAGGCAGCAGUGGGGAAUAUUGGACAAUGGGCGCAAGCCUGAUCCAGCCAUGCCGCGUGAGUGAUGAAGGCCUUCGGGUUGUAAAGCUCUUUUAUCCGGGAAGAUAAUGACUGUACCGGAAGAAUAAGCCCCGGCAAACUUCGUGCCAGCCGCCGCAGUAA
rnacentral:rRNA from 1 species